UGUGUCUCCGUCUUUAGUAAGCUUCAGAGAGAAGUGCUCUAGAGACAGUGGUAGCAACAAGGGCGUUAAGGAAGGCAAGUUUCUUCUUUCAUUUUAAAGUAGUAUCUAUUGACUGUACAAUGCAAUGGGCUGCCCUAUAUUUUCACACAUGCAUAUGCCGUAGUUGGCUUAUAUUCAUCCUCUCUGUGUCACUCUCCAGUCCUCAUCUGAAUACUCAGAAGAAGGGAUCUUUGUACAAGAUUGCAAGACUUUGACUCAGAAAUCUCUCUAAUUCCUUGGAGACACCUUCCUUCUGCUUGCCCUAGCCUCCUGGACAGAGAAGAUCUUCUAAUUGUCAACUACUGUGAAAAAUGCUGCGAAUACAGAAACAAAUUGCCUGCUAUUAAGGUGCCUCCAGAUAACCAAAAAGCCCUUCCCCUAAAAUGAGAUUGAUGACUUCUCUUUACGCCAUCCUAGAGCCCUCAUCCAGUGGCUGAUGGAAGCAGAGACAGACAUCCACAGAUAUACACUGAGCUGAAAUCAGGAAUUUAGUUGAAGAGAGGAAGGAAUGAAGAGUGAAGGGGUCUGUUCCAGGUUGGAGAAACCUACAGGAACAAUUGGCCUGAACAAGGGAGAGUACAUUGAGCCCAGAUGCUGUGUGGGAAGCCAGUACAAGACUGAUCCAGACCCCUAAACAUGGAUGUCAAUAAGGAGGCCUCUGCACUCCAGGGAGCCUCUGGAAGUGGAUUAGCAUUUUUCCCUGGUGCAAGAAGGGACUUUGAGAGCCCAUCCCACAUGAAGGGAUACACUCUGGCCCUAGACACAUGGGGAAGGGCCCAGGCCCAGUACAGGAAGAUUUGGUGGACUUUGCAGAGCCCCCAUUGAGGGCCCUACCCUGCCUGGGGAGUGGU
rnacentral:lncRNA from 1 species